CUGGCGAAAGAAGCCGUACAGCAGCGAGCCGCAGUGGUCGCAAAAGGUCGGCGACAUAAAGGUGUAAACUCUAAAGCGAUGCGUUUGGCACGCUAUGGAGGAGAGGAAGAAAGCAUCAUUAGUAGUACAUAGAGCUGGGAUGGAAAUGAGGCAGCAUUUUGAGCGGUUCCGGGCUGCUGUUGUCAUAUUUUUCGCCUGGUUUACUCUCCAUCGUUUUCGGUCAUAAAUUUUUUGGCUCAGAUUGUGCAGUUUCGACAGGUUGCAUGUUUUGACAGUACAAUGGAUGUAUUGGGACGUUCGGUCGUUUGCUAGCUGUUGCUCCCAAGACACCAAUGUUUGACAGUGUUUGCCAGCUAAGGUAUCACAUUUUGACAGUGUAAAUCAACUUUAGUUUACCAGCAACUCUUCGUUUUUGGAUUCUGGGUGCAAAUUAGGUAUGUGCGGAAUAUGAGCAAAUAUGUGAGUAUACC